rnacentral:rRNA from 1 species
CACGUAGGGGGCAAGCGUUGUCCGGAUUCAUUGGGCGUAAAGAGCUCGUAGGCGGUUCGAUAAGUCGGGUGUGAAACCUCCAGGCUCAACCUGGAGACGCCACCCGAUACUGUCGUGACUAGAGUCCAGUAGGGGAGCGUGGAAUUCCUGGUGUAGCGGUGAAAUGCGCAGAUAUCAGGAGGAACACCAGCGGCGAAGGCGGCGCUCUGGGUUGGCACUGACGCUGAGGAGCGAAAGCGUGGGGAGCGAACAGG